CAGCCGCCGCGGUAAUACGAAGGGGGCUAGCGUUGCUCGGAAUGACUGGGCGUAAAGGGCGCGUAGGCGGUUUGGACAGUCAGAUGUGAAAUUCCUGGGCUUAACCUGGGGGCUGCAUUUGAUACGUUCAGGCUUGAGUGUGGAAGAGGGUCGUGGAAUUCCCAGUGUAGAGGUGAAAUUCGUAGAUAUUGGGAAGAACACCGGUGACGAAGGCGGCGACCUGGUCCAUUACUGACGCUGAGGCGCGAAAGCGUGGGGAGCAAACAGGAUUAGAUACCCCAGUAGUCCCUGUCUCUUAUAC
rnacentral:rRNA from 1 species